AUUGAACGCUGGCGGCAUGCCUUACACAUGCAAGUCGAACGGUAACGCGGGGCAACCUGGCGACGAGUGGCGAACGGGUGAGUAAUACAUCGGAACGUGCCCAGUAGUGGGGGAUAGCCCGGCGAAAGCCGGAUUAAUACCGCAUACGACCUACGGGUGAAAGCGGGGGAUCGCAAGACCUCGCGCUAUUGGAGCGGCCGAUGUCAGAUUAGCUAGUUGGUGGGGUAAAGGCCUACCAAGGCGACGAUCUGUAGCUGGUCUGAGAGGACGACCAGCCACACUGGGACUGAGACACGGCCCAGACUCCUACGGGAGGCAGCAGUGGGGAAUUUUGGACAAUGGGGGCAACCCUGAUCCAGCCAUGCCGCGUGCGGGAAGAAGGCCUUCGGGUUGUAAACCGCUUUUGUCGGGGAAGAAACGGUCUGCGCUAAUACCGCGGACUAAUGACGGUACCCGAAGAAUAAGCACCGGCUAACUACGUGCCAGCCGCCGCCGUAAAAC
rnacentral:rRNA from 1 species